rnacentral:rRNA from 1 species
CGAUUCUAGGUUAAAAGUCGCUGCUAUACACCCAUGUGAAACCUACCUUUGUUGCCUCGGCAGGUCUGCAACUUACCCUGAGGGUACCUACCCUGUAGGUACCUUACCCGGUAGUUGCGGGCAUAACCUGCCGGUGGUCUACUAAACUCUGUUUACUAUGUCAUUCUGAAUAAUAUAACUAAAUAAGUUAAAACUUUCAACAACGGAUCUCUUGGUUCUGGCAUCGAUGAAGAACGCAGCGAAAUGCGAUAAGUAAUGUGAAUUGCAGAAUUCAGUGAAUCAUCGAAUCUUUGAACGCACAUUGCGCCCAUUAGUAUUCUAGUGGGCAUGCCUGUUCGAGCGUCAUUUCAACCCUUAAGCCCUGUUGCUUAGCGUUGGGAGCCUACAGAUACCCUCUGUAGUUCCUUAAAGUUAGUGGCGGAGUCGGUUUCACACUCUAGACGUAGUAAAUUUUAUCUCGCCUAUAGAUGAGCCGGUCCCUUGCCGUAAAACCCCCUAAUUUCUAAAGGUUGACCUCGGAUCAGGUAGGAAUACCCGCUGAACUUAAGCAUAUCAAUAAGCGGAGGAAAAA